rnacentral:rRNA from 1 species
GGGUCUAGCGGCGGACGGGUGAGUAACGCGUGGGAACGUGCCCUUUGCUACGGAAUAGUCCUGGGAAACUGGGGGUAAUACCGUAUACGCCCUUUUGGGGAAAGAUUUAUCGGCGAAGGAUCGGCCCGCGUUGGAUUAGGUAGUUGGUGGGGUAAUGGCCUACCAAGCCGACGAUCCAUAGCUGGUUUGAGAGGAUGAUCAGCCACACUGGGACUGAGACACGGCCCAGACUCCUACGGGAGGCAGCAGUGGGGAAUCUUAGACAAUGGGGGCAACCCUGAUCUAGCCAUGCCGCGUGAGUGAUGAAGGCCUUAGGGUUGUAAAGCUCUUUCAGCUGGGAAGAUAAUGACGGUACCAGCAGAAGAAGCCCCGGCUAACUCCGUGCCAGCAGCCGCGGUAAUACGGAGGGGGCUAGCGUUGUUCGGAAUUACUGGGCGUAAAGCGCACGUAGGCGGACC